AGAGUUUGAUCCUGGCUCAGAUUGAACGCUGGCGGCAGGCUUAACACAUGCAAGUCGAACGGUAACAGAAAGUAGCUUGCUACUUUGCUGACGAGUGGCGGACGGGUGAGUAAUGCUUGGGAAUAUGCCUUAUGGUGGGGGACAACAGUUGGAAACGACUGCUAAUACCGCAUAACAUCUCCGGAUCAAAGUGGGGGACCUUCGGGCCUCACGCCAUAAGAGUAGCCCAAGUGGGAUUAGCUAGUUGGUAAGGUAAUGGCUUACCAAGGCGACGAUCCCUAGUUGGUCUUAGAGGAUGACCAGCCACACUGGAACUGAGACACGGUCCAGACUCCUACGGGAGGCAGCAGUGGGGAAUAUUGCACAAUGGGCGCAAGCCUGAUGCAGCCAUGCCGCGUGUGUGAAGAAGGCUUUCGGGUUGUAAAGCACUUUCAGCGAGGAGGAAAGGGUAUUGCUUAAUAGGCAAUAUCUGUGAAGUUACUCGCAGAAGAUGCACCGGCUAACUCCGUGCUAGCAGCCGCGGUAAUACGGAGGGUGCGAGCGUUAAUCGGAAUUACUGGGCGUAAAGCGCGCGUAGGUGGUUAAUUAAGUCAGAUGUAAAAUCCCAGGGCUCAACCUUGGAACUGCAUUUGAAACUGGUUAACUAGAGUUUUGUAGAGGGUGGUAGAAUUUCAGGUGUACCUGAAAUGCGUAGAGAUCUGAAGGAAUACCAGUGGCGAAGGCGGCCACCUGGACAAAGACUGACACUGAGGCGCGAAGGCGUGGGGAGCAAACGGGAUUAGAUACCCGGGUAGUCCACGCAGUAAACGAUGUCUAUUAGAAUUUUGUGGCUAUAUGCCGUGGGAUUCAAAGCUAACGCAUUAAAUAGACCGCCUGGGGAGUACGGCCGCAAGGUUAAAACUCAAAUGAAUUGACGGGGGCCCGCACAAGCGGUGGAGCAUGUGGUUUAAUUCGAUGCAACGCGAAGAACCUUACCAUCCCU
rnacentral:rRNA from 1 species